UACGUAGGUGGCAAGCGUUGUCCGGAUUUACUGGGCGUAAAGGGCGCGCAGGCGGCUGGUCAAGUCCGAUGUGAAAGCUCCCGGCUUAACUGGGAAACGGCAUCGGAAACUGAUCGGCUUGAAGGUGGGAGAGGGUAGUGGAAUUCCCGGUGUAGUGGUGAAAUGCGUAGAUAUCGGGAGGAACACCAAUUGCGAAGGCAGCUCGCUGGAACGUUACUGACGCUGAGACGCGAAAGCGUGGGGAGCAAACAGG
rnacentral:rRNA from 1 species